rnacentral:snoRNA from 1 species
AAGAUCAUAACCUGUCACAGGAUCAUUUCGUGUCAGUAUCAUCUUCAGGUUGAGCAAACUUUAUAGUUUCCAGCCCCUCGGUCAGAUGAUGAGACUGCGUGCUCAUUCACCUGAGGCACCGUGAGGUUGUGUGAGUCUAGAUCUUCUCCAAGAUUAGACUCCACACCUCGAUGAUUGCGGCCCUAAACUCCGAGUUAGGCGGUGAAUGAGUUGUACUGA